rnacentral:piRNA from 1 species
UCACCUGGGUGGGCAUCUGUCUCUUGGUA